CCUACGGGGGGCAGCAGUGAGGAAUAUUGGUCAAUGGCCGUAAGGCUGAACCAGCCAAGUAGCGUGAGGGAAGACUGCCCUAUGGGUUGUAACCCUCUUUUAUUCGGAGAUAAAGGUUUCCACGUGUGGAUGUUUGCAUGUACCGCCUGAAUCAGGACCGGCUAAUUCCGUGCCAGCAGCCGCGGUAAUACGGAAGGUCCGGGCGUUAUCCGGAUUUAUUGGGUUUAAAGGGGGCGUAGUCUGGGCUUUAAGCUUGCCGGGAAAGUUUGUGGCUCAACCAUGAGAGUGCGGUGGGAACUGGAAGCCUUGAGUGCGCGGAAGGCAGGCGGAAUUCGUGGUGUAGCGGUGAAAUGCUUAGAUAUCACGAAGAACCCCGAUUGCGAAGGCAGCCUGCCGCAGCGUAACUGACGCUGAAGCUCGAAAGCGUGGGUAUCGAACAGGAUUAGAUACCCUAGUAGUC
rnacentral:rRNA from 1 species